AUUGAACGCUGGCGGCAGGCCUAACACAUGCAAGUCGAGCGAGCGGCGGAGGGGUGAGUAAUGUCUGGGAAACUGCCUGAUGGGGGGGGAUAAAUACUGGAAAAGGUAGCUAAUACAGCAUACCAUCAGAUGUGCCCAGAUGGGAUUAUCGAGUAGGUGGGGUAGUGGCUCACCUAGGCGACGAUACCUAGCUGGGCUGAGAGGAUGACCAGCCACACUGGAACUGAGACACGGUCCAGACUCCUACGGGAGGCAGCAGUGGGGAAUAUUGCACAAUGGGCGCAAGCCUGAUGCAGCCAUGCCGCGUGUAGGAAGAAGGCCUUCGGGUUGUAAAGUACUUUCAGCGGGGAGGCGUUACUCGCAGAAGAAGCACCGGCUAACUCCGUGCCAGCAGCCGCGGUAAUUC
rnacentral:rRNA from 1 species